UGCAUUGUGACACAUGCUUCAGUGCUCUGAGAGUGUUUAUAGUGCUGUGAGUUUAACACUUCAUGACUGAGAGCAGAACAGAACACAAUCUUCAUCAUCACACAAGACAAAAGAACAACAAUGAACACAAUCACCUUCUUCAUCUGGACUCUCACACUGUUUAUUCAAGAGUGUAGAGGACAGAUCACUGUAACUCAGAGUCCAUCAAUAAUUCAGGCUCAACCAGGACAAGAAGUCAGAAUAAACUGUAAAACCAGCAGUGCAGUGUAUGGUGGUGAUCGUUUAGCCUGGUACUUACAGAAACAUGGAGAAGCUCCUAAACUCCUGAUUUAUUAUAUAAACACCCUCCAGUCAGGAACUACAUCUAGAUUCAGUGGCAGUGGAUCUAACAGUGAUUUCACUCUGACCAUCAGUGGAGUCCAGACUGAAGAUACAGGAGAUUAUUACUGUCAGAGUUACCACUGGAUCAACAGUAAAGCUGUGUUCACACAGUGAUAAAGAGUGGUACAAAAACCUCGUUCAGUCAGACGUCACAGUGAUGCACUGAUACAGCUGAGAGAUACUGCAGCUGCUGAUGGAGGAUCACAAACAACACAAUGGAGUAUCAAACCUUUCAGAGACUUUAUUUAUUUAUUUAUUUAUUUAUUUAUUUAUUUUGAUGUACUAAGCAUGUAACAUAAUCUUUAUAUUAUAUAAAUGUUAGUGGUGUUUGGUCCUUCAAAACUUUCCACUACAAUGUAAUCUAACUGCAGGAAAGUCCGUCACUUUAAUUGCACUUCCAUGCUUCAUCACUAGAUGGCGUGUCUGUUACAUAACUGAGUUCUCUAUCUGUCAGUCACUUUGACGUUGAGUCGAUGUGAUGACACUAGUAUAGUGUUUCUCAACCUUUUUUACUCGAUGGCCUCCUCCUUCACCAGAUCAAUACUGCAGUGAAGAUGCCUGACAUUUCCUCUUAUACUGUACUUCCACAGCAAAGAGAACUCUUAUAGAUGCAGGACUAGCCUACAGCAAACACUGAACCAGACUAUUAAAUGUUGAGAAGGGAUCUCAUUGGCUGCAGGAUCAGCAGAGACCAAUCAGCCUGAGUCAUUUGGUAUUGAUGUGAUCGAUUACAGACUGCAUGUAAAGGUGCGAUCGAAGCCUGUGCCAUCUUCAGUUUCAUGACUGAACUAGAUUUCUGACAUGACAAUUCCUGGAGAGUUUGUGAUGGUAAUGAAUAUGACAAUGUUCAUGUGUUUAGUCUGCUGCUGUUGAUUAUAUCUGCUGUAGAGUACAGGACUUUCCACUGCCAACACACACAACAUGCUGCUGCUGUACGAGCAAACAUGAAUCACCCCAUAGCAGAUCUGGACAGGUGGAGCUGGGGGAGGUGGAGGGUUUCUGAAAGUACACUGCACUGCUACAGCAAACAAUAGACAAGUGUUUGAAUGUUGAGCAGCAAGAUCAUUGAUACUGAUACAGCAGGAAUCAUUCAGUUGUGUCCUGUAGAGAAUGAUGUGUGAAUGUGUGUGUCUGACUCUGUAUAUUUACUGUUACUGUGAUUUGGUGAUGUAAAGCCUUUCUUUUAACCCUGUCAGUAAAACUACUGGACUCUGAA